AUACGGAGGAUCCGAGCGUUAUCCGGAUUUAUUGGGUUUAAAGGGUGCGCAGGCGGCCAUUUAAGUCAGCGGUUAAAUCGUGGGGCUCAACCCCAUUCUGCCGUUGAUACUGGGUGGCUUGAUUGCGGCCGAGGUUGGCGGAAUUCGUUGUGUAGCGGUGAAAUGCAUAGAUAUGACGAAGAACACCGAUUGCGUAGGCAGCUGACCAGACCGCAAAUGACGCUCAUGCACGAAAGUGCGGGGAUCGAACAGGAUUAGAUACCCUGGUAGUCCGCACAGUAAACGAUGAAUACUUGUUUUCGGCGAUAUAAUGUCGGAGGCAAAGCGAAAGCGAUAAGUAUUCCACCUGGGGAGUACGCCGGCAACGGUGAAACUCAAAUGAAUUGACGGGG
rnacentral:rRNA from 1 species